UUAGGCAAGUGUGGUGGUGCAUGCUGUAGUCCCAUCUACCGGGGAGACUGAGACGGAAAGAUCGCUUGGGCUCAGGAAUUCAGGUUUUCUACGAGAGUCACAACAGGCAUCCUGCACUUCCCACAUUAACCUCAGAGUUACAUUUUAAAAUCAACACGUGGAUAUGGUCAACUAAUACGAUGUCAUAGUAGGCAGACUACACUGUUCACAGAUUGCAGGAAGUUUUGACUAGAAGCUCAGUGGUAACAUUGACAAGACAGCCAAGCAGACAGAGUCUGGCAGAAGUGGAACUCAGAAUCAUCGGGGCAAACAUUGGCAGUGCUAAUCCAACUCCUAGACACGAAGAAGCUGCCCUGCGAGGCUGACCUCUGUGUUUAGCAGGUGGAUCCUCUAUUGACAGGUGUAUCCUGCCAAGUGUAUCCUAUCCUGAUUCCUUUGAACACUGGAAGCAUGUAGCUCUCCUUGUUAUGAUUAUAUGGUUAUCAGCCAAACUUCUGAUUUAGAUUCCCAUGUAGUUUUCCACAACAGUUAGAGAAUGCACUAGUCAGGCUAAAUCAAGCAUGGCAUACACUUAAAUGUUACAUGUCUUAUUUUAAAUUAGUAAUCUUUCAACCCAGUUAAUUUUCCCAUAUCAGUCAAUAUUUUCAUGUCUUUGUUUCUGGAUUUCAAAACAGAGAGCCCGAUGAGGGACUAUAACAGCUUAACUAAAUUAAUGUAAUGAUGAGUUACUGUGCAUUCCUGUUAAAAUAUUUAUAAAACAAUAAUCCCCAAAAUAAAAAUUAGAAGAUGUUAGGAAUAUAGAAGAAUUACAAAGGUUAUUAUAAAAAAAAUAGAAGGUUAACGAUGUCUAAACUAGGUAUCAGUGACAUAAAUCAGUGACUCGUUUUGCAUGCUUUAGAUUUACUUUCUUGUCUCCUUUGCUGCCAGCACUUGGGCAACCCAAAUGCUAAGUGGGAGAAUGAGGAUGCCAAACACCUCACAGCUGCAUGGUGGGGGUGACACUGGUAAAACAAAUUAAUAGCUCCCUGCAUGGAAAUCUAAUGCAGAACACUAGCUAGAAUCGAGGAUAGUGCUGAUAAAAAUAUCCAAGAAUCAUUUCUAUAAAAUCUGAAGCUGUAACAUGGAAAGAAUUCUUACAAAUUCCACAUAGAUGAAUUCUAUAAGAUAGCCUCACAAUUUAAAGCUUUCUUUUAGAAGGAUAACAUUUAUUUACCAUUGAAUUACCUGCUUUGCAUUUUUUCACUCAUUUCCAAGCAUGCACUUACAGAAUAUCUACUAAAUUCUAGGUGCUGUGCUGGACAAUUGGGCUGGAACCAUGACAUGCAGUCUCUCUCUUUGCGGAGUUCACUGUGUUUUGGAGCAACAAUCAUAUCCUCAUAUCACAUCAAAGCAGUUAAUAGAAGCAUGCACCGAGGCCAGGCCUCAAUGUUAGUCCUGCCCUGACCCUGUGAACCAGGCUGCACUGCACACUAUCUUGAAAUACAACAAUCAUACCUGUUUCAAUCUCCUGCCCUUUCCUUUUCCUUUCCCCAACCCUCCUGUCCCCCUUCUUUGACAUGCUCCCUGCUUUUUGAGAAUUCAUCUCCUACACACAAUUUGCCAGGAGUAUAAUUCCUUUAAGGAAACGUGUCAAGGUCUCCCAGGAGCUCAAAAUGACUCACAGGUUCUACAAAAAUUACAUUUUUAAAAACUUUUAAUUUUAAUAAUAAUAUAAUAAGAAAACAUACUGUGCAGUAAUAAUUCAAAGUUUAAAUGAAAUUUGUUUGAUUAUACUUUAGUUUCUUUAAUGCUUUUUUUUUCAAACUGAGAUUCUUAGCACCCAGGCCAAAAGAUCCAAGGAUAUCUUCUAGGGAGUCCAUGAACAGUGGGUCCUUCAGAAACAUGACUCCGAAUCUAAACAAAUAAUUACAUCCUUGCCCUAAAAAAAUUGCUGACUUCACUAAAAAUAAAUUUAUGGAGCUAAGUUGAGCCAGUAACAACUGUUUAAUCUGAUGCUAUCUACAUUUCCAGCACAAAUUGAAGAGCAAGGAUAAAAUGAAUUCUUAAAGAAAUGGAAAAAAUUACCAGAUUUUCCUUAUAUUCAUGUAUUGAAUACUGUAAAUUUAUAUAAAUGUCACUUACUCAUCUCGUUAUAUAAAAAAGUCAAAGUUCAAUAAAAUACCUUCAAAUUUA
rnacentral:lncRNA from 10 species